UGAGGAACGUGACUUUCGGCGGGGGAUAGCCGGCCCAACGGCCGGGUAAUACCGCGUACGACCUCUCGGGGACAUCCCCGGUUGGUGAAAGCAGCAAUGCACCGAAAGAGUGCCUCGCGGCCUAUCAGCUUGUUGGCGGGGUAAUGGCCCACCAAGGCGACGACGGGUAGCUGGUCUGAGAGGAUGAUCAGCCACAUUGGGACUGAGACACGGUCCAGACUCCUACGGGGAGCAG
rnacentral:rRNA from 1 species